rnacentral:lncRNA from 1 species
AUGAGGCCCAGCUCCCGGCUGUGCCGUGUGCAUGGAGCUGCCAAGCACUGCUCAGCUUCACAGCCCAGGGACAGUGGAAGCAUCUGGACCUGUACCCAACUCCAGCAGCACCUGCUCACCUCCGAGGAGCAUCAGCCACCCCGGGAUUACAGAGAAAUGUCACCUGUAACCGGACCUGGGCGGCUCCCAGCCUGGAAUAUAGGGCAUGGGGGAGAGAGAGGCUCAGUGACCCCAGCAGAUGCGUUGCUACAGAUUUCAGGAGGGUUCCCAUGGAAAUGGCAGUGGCUGCCAGGGCAAUGGAACAAAAAUAAAAGGCCUUCGGAUGAAAGCAGAGCCCGAGAGGCAGCGAUCGGAGAUGGGCUCUCCAUGCUGCGGGGCUGCUCGGCACCGGCAUCGUGCUGCGGCAGGGCUGGGGGGGGGCACGGGCAGCCCCGUGAGGAUGAGUCCCAUCACAUCCCCUCCUCUGGGGCCCUGAUGAAGCACUCAGUGCCCAACCCGCUCCGCCGUGCAGCGCGGUGCUCAGACCUCGUUCUUCCUUCUGCACCAAACCCCAGCUCAGCCACUGGUGCCGGACCAACCCACGCCCCCUCCUGCUGCACGGCCACACCGAUCCUCAGCGCUGGGAAUCAGCAAGGGAGCACCUGCAGAGCCCCGGGGCCUCGUUCCCCUCCCACUGCCCACACUGCAAAGCUGCCAACUCAGCAAACCCCUGCCAGGACCACGCGGGAACGGUGCGGGGUUGCGGCCGCUGCCAGCUCCGCUGAUGCGAGAAGCGCUCGCUCGAUUGCGACUUGUGUUUGUUUUCUGUUACUGCCUAAUAGAGUUUGUGUUCCACGUAAGGGUCGAUCGCCUUUUCUCCCCGAGGUGAGGGAAGUGCAGCGCUGGAUGCAAGCAAACACAGCACAGGGGCAAUGGGUGCUCACUGCGGGGCUCCGGGGCUGCUUGUCCAACCCUGGUGCUUCCAAGGAACAGCGACCAGGACGCAGCUCAGCGUGUCCCUGCAGAGGGGAUCCCAGCAGCACCAUGCAUCCCAGUGCUGCAGCAACUUGGGUUUGUAGGGGUGGUUUUCCCUAA